UUCUUGGUCAUUUAGAGGAAGUAAAAGUCGUAACAAGGUUUCCGUAGGUGAACCUGCGGAAGGAUCAUUAAAAGUAAAUAUGUAUUCUUCGGAAUAUGCAUUUCAAACCCAUCUGUGUAUCCUACCCGUUGCUUCCGUGCCGCGUGGACCCCGGUCCCCUCUUGCCGUACUCCGUACGUUCCCAGAGUGUCGGCACGGAAGGUAUACAUCAAAACUCUUGCAUUCCAUGUCAUCUGUCUGAACUGUUAAAUAAACAAAAGUUAAAACUUUCAACAACGGAUCUCUUGGUUCUCGCAUCGAUGAAGAACGCAGCGAAAUGCGAUAAGUAGUGUGAAUUGCAGAAUUCAGUGAAUCAUCGAAUCUUUGAACGCACAUUGCGCCUCCUGGUAUUCCGGGAGGCAUGCCUGUUCGAGCGUCAUUAAAAACCACUCAAGCUCUUUUGCUUGGUCGUGGAAGAAGAGUCCGCUUGCCGUUCUCCCUUCCGAAAUGCAAUGGCGGAAGGUCUCUGAUACCCAGCGUAGUACUAACUGUUCGCUCUGUGUCUGGAGGCAUUCCUGCUGUCAAACCCCCAAUUUUUUUCUUGGUUGACCUCGGAUCAGGUAGGGAUACCCGCUGAACUUAAGCAUAUCAAUAAGCCGGAGGA
rnacentral:rRNA from 1 species